UAUAAGGUAUCAUGUACAUAUAAAUACAUACAUAUAGCAUUACAACAACAUACACAAGAAACAAGAAAUGAUUCAUUCUUUAGGGGAGGACAAAGACCUACUACAAAACCAGAUUUAUGUUACUCAUUCUCCGCAAAACAUUGUGGACAAACAACAAACUAAUCACACGAUGAAAUACUAGAUUGAUGAAAUACUAAAUUGAUUAUAUCCCGAUAUUAGAUAUAUAGAAAAUAGUCUACAGCAUUGAUACUAAAUAGGUGCUUUAGUCUGGUGGUUAUGAUGGUUAUGCUCUACAUCAUGUACGUCGGUUCGACUCGCAUAGGCAACGCGUUUGGCUUCUUUUUAAUGCUUUCUUUAAUAAGUGGUAUUUUCGUAAUUUUAUCAUCUUCUUUCUAAAUCAAUUGGGAUUUUCUGCAAUUUCUCUCUACAGCCGCUAGCCAUUAUUUUUCCAUUAUUCAUCACUUUUUUUUUUCAUUUUCCAUGUUUAUUAUAUCUCAAGCUUGUAAAAAUUUCAUUUAAAACUCUAUUUAAAACGUCUAAACUCAGAAAGUUACCUUUUUUUUUUAAUUUGCCCAACUCAGUGGCCGAAUUGAAACAAAACACCACAGCCACAACGACUCCAGAUGGCCACGGCGGUGAAGAUGAGCGUAGCGGAGUGAUCCGGAGGUGAUUUGUUGACGACGACUAAGGCAGCAACAAGGAGACCUCGAGUUCAAUUUAUGUGUCUCAGUUUUCAUUUACAAACGCUUCACAUGAGACUUGAGCAAGAACAGAGAGCGUGGUGGUUUGGUGCUCACGAGCAGAUCUUAAUUUGGUGGCUAUUGAAAAAAAUUGCUAUAAACAAAACUGGAGAAAAAUUGUGAGAAGGUAAAAGAAGUGGCUCCUUCUAAAUGAUACUUU
rnacentral:lncRNA from 1 species